GAGGUCAGCGUUUAACACUGUCUCCUUAAGACAAAAUUUGCCCCAUCACUGUUGCUUACGGUUGAUUAGCGUCUGUCUCCCAAGAUGCAAUGAUCACUUGCACAGAAAUUAGCACAAUUUUUGUAUGCUUGGCGAACCAGUUGGCAAUGUUGCUCUCUCAUGAACAGCUCUAAUGAAAAAUGUCAGAAACUCGUUGUUUUUCCUUACUGAUGAACUCUCGAAUUUCUGUGUGUUAUGAACUUGCAAGAGAUGUUGGUAUUUAUAGGCUUUUAAGUUACAAAUGAAAGGCCAUGAAUUUACUCUACCAUUGAAGCCAUUGUAAUAGCUUCAGUUAUUACCAGAAUUGAAAGGCCUUGACCUUUCAGUGAAUAGAAAUAAACUAGGAGUAUAUUCUGUAAUUAGCCUAACCAGCCAAAUUACUCACCUGUUAUGGCUGAUGUUACCAGAACUGAAGCUCUUAUGGUUGUUGUUACCAGAAUUGAAGCUGAGAGUUUAUUCUGUAAUUAAAAAUUAAAGGGGUUAAAAAGUAAUUAUCGAAUUACUCACCUCUAAUAGAGAGACAAAGCGCAAUAUUGCGCCCACGCCACGUGGCCCGCGGCGUGCGCAUGAAAGCUAGGGUAUAAUGUGAUUCACAUUAUCCAUAACUCUCCCUCAGUGCUCCAAGUAUUCAUUCUGUUAAUGUUAGUUUGAUAUAUAUAAACACUUUAAAAUAUUCAUAUUCAAGCGACGUAGGACUUCCACAUUUUUUUCACAACAAUAGUAGCACUUUAGUGAAUAUUUUCUCACUCAACUCUUAUCCGUUUUGAGCAAGUGAAUAUACUACAGUUAUCUACUCGCAAAGGAGAAUCCAUUCCACACAUGGUUUAAUAUUUUCGAUAACCGGACCCACCCAAAAAAUUGAGUCAAAAUUCAUCACAACUUAACCUUUUUUCCAAAGAAUUGGGAGGACAACAAUGUUGGUCAUAGAUUUGUGAAAGGAUGCAUGAUUUGAUUAGGGACACGGCACACUAAAGAUCACAAGGAACGUUCAUCCUCGAUCAUGGUAAAGCUGGUGUGGAUUGAUAGAGAUACCAGCAGGCUGUUGGAUUUGAUAGAGAUACCAAGUGGACAGGAAUGGACUGAGAUUCUGGACAAGUUUUCCUUGAUGAUGAAUAACAUUAAUGAAACCAUGUGUCCACUUACAAGGUGUCGAGUAUUUCACUCCUGAUUUUGAAACAUAAUAGGAUUGCAGAUUCAUUCUUUGGACAUACAUGCACUCAGUUCUUGAUUUGUCCUCGAAUCGAGAUCUUGAGAAGCUGACAAAUUCCAUAUGGACUUGGAGAGAAUAUCUCUGCCUUGUGCUUGGACAGUCUGAGAACAUCAUACAUGCCUCAUGGGAAAGUUAAUGGCAUUGGGAGUUGGGACCUUAGUUGGACACGUACUCCAAGUACCUCUCCAGAUGUUCUGUCAAUCCUAGAAUGGUUGGAGGAGAGGUGGUUACCAAGUGGGAUAAUAGGUAGACUUCCUAUCUCCAACAAAAUUAGAUUUCACUAUCUAUCUGAACAUGUAGAAGUAACGGUAGAAGAAUUGGAGAGGAUGAGGAGGCUGGAAGAAUUUGUAGUCAUGCUGUCCGAUGUUCAUGAUUCAAUCGAUUCAUCAAGUAUCUACAACGCUUUAAGUGGCGGUUGAACAAAUAUUCUCUUGAGCUGAAUGACUCUACAUAUGUAGCAUUGGCAAGUGAAAAUGACGAAUCUGAACACCAUUAUAGCAAAGCGGCGAAAUUCAAUUAUACUAAAUCUGUGGCACGGGGAAGGUGUAUUAUAGGGGGGAGAGGAGAAAGAUGAUAUUUUGCGCGUCCAUACCAAACUUCUAGUUCCUAGAGAUUCAUAAAUGUCGUUUAGCCGCAGAAAUACUUGGUGAAGUUUUCCUGUCCUUGUGUGGUAAGCGGCAGCAUGUGGAAGAUUUGUGAAGUCAGAAGUUGCGACGGGAAAUAAUGAAUGCAUCAUGUCCUGUACUCUCCUCCUCCUCAAUUCUCCAACUCGCAAGAGGAGAAAGAGAAGCGGAUGAUGGAUCAAGUGAGAGUACUGUGAGCCCAAUUUCAAAGCCUUGCCUUGAGAAUAGAUUCCUAUGUGAUUUACCGGAUUUCAAUGUCCCUAGUAGGUUGAGACGUUUGGAGUUUUUAGAAGUAAUUGCCCCUCACUUGGAACCUCUUUUCUAGUCUUGAAGCGUUGAGCAUCAGAGAUUGACAACCAAGAACGUCUUCACCUGGCUUACUGCAGCGGCACCUCCAAAACCAGGAAAUUAAGUGUCAAACGGUGUGUGUGAUCAAAUGACGGAGAUCAUACACCAAUUGACGACGAAGGCGUUAGGAAAAAGCUUUCUUUAGUUAAUAACGAUAACUGCAAUCACGAUACCUCUAUCACUCUCCCUAAAGGUGAAGCAAUUCUUGCUUCAUGACACUUUCCACAUUGAAGAGGCAUUGUGAAGGAACAUAGUUUUUGAUUUCUCGAAGAAAAAUUACAAUAGGAAAAGUUCCCGAUGGACAAGGCUCCUAAUUGCGAUAAGAAGAUUCUUCCUUGUUUAAUUAGGAAAUUUUCCUGAUUUCGUUAUCUAUAAAUUGGUCAGUGACCAUAUUUAUUCUCCCAUUGUUUUCUCUUUAUUUUCCUUUAUUCUCUUUCUUAAUUUAGGCUAUAAGUGAUUAUAGAUUAAGAACCGCUUUGAGGAAUAAUAAUUAAGCCUUUCUAUUCUUUCUAUUUAGUAUCAGAGCCAUCUAACCCCUAGCCACCACACUACCUUUACAGCAGCCCAAACCCAAACCUACCAGCCGCCGCCUUUGUGUAGCCCUCUUGCCGCUGCCUUUGUGCAUCUCUCUUGCCUCAGCCUCAGCCACCCUAUAACCCAACCCAGCCCAGCCCCUUCGGUCGGACCACUACUAGCCUUGCACAACAUAACCACUAGCCUCUACCCGUGCAGCCUCUGCUCGUCUAGCAGUCCAGAAACCGUGACGUCUUGUGCAGCCGCACAACCCAGCAAUUUUUGCACCUUCCAACAGUCCUUUAACCCACAGUCUAGCAGAGCAGUUCAGCGUAGUUCAAGCCCUACACAGGCCAGCUCUUUUGCAGCCACGCAGCCCCAAUAGCCGCCAGUAGUUCCAACAUGCAACCUAGCCCAACACUUUAGUCCAGUGCCUGCGCUAGCACAUACUUACCUCACAGACAGCCACUGCGCAGUCCAGCGCAGCCGUAUAGUCCAGCAGCCCGUAGUCGCAUGUGUAGUCCAGCAACCAAUAGCCCAGCACAGUCAGACCCUUGUGUAGCGCAACCAACAGUGCAGCCAGUAGUCCAGCACAGCCAGCCCCUGCGCAGCCCAGCAUAGCCAGCCCCUUGUGCAGCCGACCUCCUGUGCAAGCACAGCCCCUUGAACAGUCACAAUAUCCCCUGUCCAGCCCAACCUCUGGUUUCCGAGACUCUGUGUUGUCCAGUCAGACCCUGACUGCAACCCAUCCUCUGAGCUACUACAGCCCAGUCCCAGCUUCUUGCGCCAUGGCUAGUUCCUCUGUAGUAAUAGGGCCUAUUGUGUGGCACAGCCAACUCAUGUGGUGCAUAUUUAGAUGCAACCCUAAAAAAAGUAAAGUAAUGAAAAAAAUGUCACAAUAGUUCCUAAGAUUUGAUUCUGGGUUAUUAUGGUGAUGGCCUGACUCACUCAAGGAGGUUUGCCCUAGCUCAAUGUCCAGCCCAGUUCCUGUCCUUUUGUUCUCAUUCUCAACCGAAUCAAAUGUGUCACGAGCGGUGGUGUUGAAUAGAAGAAUUUUAUGCUUGAUCUCGUUCGUUCAGCUUUACCUGGUGGAAUGGGAAACGUGCAAAAGACCGUGGAUUCUGAGAAAGGAACCAAACUGGUGAGACUACCUGACCGCUCUUCAUGGUAAGUCAGGUCACCCCACUUGGAUUUUGAAUUCUGGGGCAAAUAAAUUCAUAUGACUGGUAGCUUGCUACCUUUACCUCUCUGGUUUACUUCUGUUAAUCAAUCGGUUUAUAUUGUGAUGGAUCAUCAUUCCCAUUUGUAGUCAGGGAGAUGCUCGCUUAUCCUCCGAUAUUCCCUUUCAUCUAUUUUAUCAUAUACCACAUUUUGCCUAUAAUCUCUUUCUGUCAGUGUCUUACAAAAGAUCUUAAUUGUGCUGUGUUUCUACCAUUCCUCGUUGUACUGCAGGACCUGACUUCGGAAGAGAUUUUUGGCAGGGGUAGUAUGAGUGAGAUGGGACUAUAAUAUUUUGGAAUCCUUUAUCAUCUCGUACGUUGUCGUCUAGCCUUCAUGUUUUCUCUCCACCAAUUAGAGUCGUCUGUUGUUUAGUCCUUUUGGUUUAAAGUCAUCUGUUUUCUUUUUUAACCUAUAUGUGGCAGGCCGUUUAGGGCAUGCUAACUUUCAAUAUUUAUGUGGUUUUUUCUAUUCCAAUAAAUCGUGUCAAAUUAUUUUAAAUGUGUCGUUUGUGAGUUUUAUUCAUAAACAACUUUUACCUCGUAUAUUCGCGUAUGCACCGUGCCCUAGUGCUUUUGACCUAUUCAUUACAGAGUAUGGGGGUCCUUCUCCAAUUACUGCUCUCUCUCAACACCGCUAUUAUGUAACCUACAUAGAUGAUUAAUCGUUUGUACUUGGGUCACUUAAUGACGUAAUAAAUCUGAGGUAUUUUCUACUUUACCCACUUCCUACAAAUGACAAAACUCAAUAUAACACUGUUGUGCGUAACAUCCGGUCUCAGAUAAGGUCGGGAGUAUAUUAUUAAUGAGUUUCGCUGCCUGAACUUAAUAAAAUGUUGGUAUCCUCCAAAACCACGUUGCCUACAUCCGAGCAGAAAGGGGUAGCUGAGGUAAAAAUCGUCAUAUUAGUCCGUGAUUCGAUGUCUCUUACGGGGUAUGGGAGUGUACACACAAAUUCUGAUCUAAAAUAAUAAGACAAAAAAAAUAUAGUAGCAAUAUUAAAUUUAUUAUUAACUUUUGAAUAGCGGAUUCAACAUCUCGAAACAAUUU
rnacentral:lncRNA from 1 species